rfam:Papio anubis isolate 1X1155 chromosome 17, whole genome shotgun sequence.
ACUGGGCAUGGUGGCGCAUGCCUGUAGUCCCAGCUCUUCAGGAGGCUGAUGGGGGAGGAUCGCUUGAGCUCAGGAGUUCUGGGCUGUAGUGUGCUAUGCCAAUCGGGUGUCCACACUAAGUUCAGCAUCAAUACAGUGACCUCCCGGGGGUGGGGGACCUCCAGAUUGCCUAGGAAAGGGUGAAUUGGCUCAGGUUGGAAUCGGAGCAGGUCAAAACUCCCAUGCUGAUCAAUAGUGGGAUCGUGCUUGGGUAUAGCCACUGCAUGCCAGCCUGGGCAACAUAGUGAGGGCCCAUCUCUU